rnacentral:rRNA from 1 species
AUUGAACGCUGGCGGCAGGCCUAACACAUGCGAGUCGAGCGGAUGAAGGGAGCUUGCUCCUGGAUUCAGCGGCGGACGGGUGGGUAAUGCCUAGGAAUCUGCCUGGUAGUGGGGGAUAACGUCCGGAAACGGGCGCUAAUACCGCAUACGUCCUGAGGGAGAAAGUGGGGGAUCUUCGGACCUCACGCUAUCAGAUGAGCCUAGGUCGGAUUAGCUAGUUGGUGGGGUAAAGGCCUACCAAGGCGACGAUCCGUAACUGGUCUGAGAGGAUGAUCAGUCACACUGGAACUGAGACACGGUCCAGACUCCUACGGGAGGCAGCAGUAGGGAAUAUUGGACAAUGGGCGAAAGCCUGAUCCAGCCAUGCCGCGUGUGUGAAGAAGGUCUUCGGAUUGUAAAGCACUUUAAGUUGGGAGGAAGGGCAGUAAGUUAAUACCUUGCUGUUUUGACGUUACCAACAGAAUAAGCACCGGCUAACUUCGUG